CCAAGGGCAUCGCUGGGUAGCUACGUUCGGAUGAGAUAACCGCUGAAGGCAUCUAAGCGGGAAGCUUACCCCAAAACUAAGAAUCCCUCUCCGGCUUUAUGCCGGGGUGAAGGCCGGUGGAAGACUACCACUUAUAUAGGGUGCAGGUGUACGCACAGUAAUGUGUUUAGCCGAGCACUACUAACGGCCAAUCGGCUUGAUACC
rnacentral:rRNA from 1 species